GAUCCUGGCUCAGGGUGAACGCUGGCGGCGUGCUUAACACAUGCAAGUCGAACGAAGCACCUCAUAAAGCUUGCUUUAAGAAGUGACUUAGUGGCGGACGGGUGAGUAACGCGUGGGUAACCUGCCUUACACAGGGGGAUAACAGUUAGAAAUGACUGCUAAUACCGCAUAAAACAGCAGAGUCGCAUGACUCAACUGUCAAAGAUUUAUCGGUGUAAGAUGGACCCGCGUCUGAUUAG
rnacentral:rRNA from 1 species